CACACGGGCCCGCGCACCGCGGCUGGGCCGGAGACGUGUGCGGAGCAGCACGGCCCUCGGCAGGUGCUCCCGGGCGGCGCAGGCUGUCCUCACGCGCGCUCCAGGAGCCGGGCUCCUCCCUGCUCCGCCGGCGGGCAGCUCCUCCUGGGCCGGACCCCAGCGCGUCCUUUCCAGGCAAAGGCCCCGCGGGAAGACACAGCACCUCCUGAGACGCAGGCUCAGAACCGGCGCCCAACCUCCCGCCUCGUUCCUCUGGCCAAAGCGGGUCACGUGGCUGUAGGCCCCGCCCACGGUGGGACGGUCCUGCAAAGUCACGUGGCAUUGGGCGUGGCUACAGGGAAGGGUGAAGAAUUGGGGCCAAGGACGCCGUCGGCCACAGGUCGCCAGUCUUUCCAUCUGCAGGCCAGGAUCGCAGAUCCCUGUCCAGUCCACUGUGAGGCCAACGAUAAUGACAGCUCCUGGACACAGCACGUUUGCAUAGUGCUUGACGCAGCUUCACUCCUGUCAUCCUCACCGCUUUGUGCAAUUAACGGCACCAUCGGACCCAUGAAGAAAAUGAGGCACAGAGAGGUCUUUCAAAAACAGACUCCGAGAUAAGGAAGCGGCAAGCUUUGGAGAUGCUCAAGAGAAAAUGCAGCCAUUAAAAAAAUUGCCAUGCGAUAGUUAUGAAAUUUCCCUAAAUUCAUUUUGUGGAGUGAGAGACAUAAUUUAAACGUGAAGUUAUCGAGAGCUGAGAUGAACCACACGUCACGUGCCAUUUAAUCUGGCAAGGAAACAGGCCACUUGGAAUUGCUAACUAGGCCUAAUUCAUUACGUCUUGGUGAACGCUGUACUUUUGCUCUUUGAGUCUUUCAACUUGUGCGUUUAAUGUGUUUACCCAGGCCUCAUGGAAAAUGGAUGGGGAUAGUAACAGAAAUACUGUAUCCUUGUUUAAAUCACGUUACAUUUUUCAAACAGCUCGGUGAUUGUUCAGAAAGAUCAUACCUUCUUCCGAAGCAUUUAUGAAACAAUUAUUUACAUUACAUUAAAAACUUUAAUUGCCUUGAAGCACGUGCUCUGAGACACAAAUAUUGGAAAAUCAUCAAAAAUAUCUGUCACGAUUCUCUCUCCUUUACAACUCUUCUAAACUUUAUGUUUUUUAUAACCCUCUGUAUUGAUCUAUUGUCCCAGACCAAGAGUGAUGUCAGAAGUCCAAGCUGGGUCAUAAAAAGAGAAUAUAAUUUUCAUUUGCUGUCUAUAAAA
rnacentral:lncRNA from 1 species